rfam:Calothrix sp. PCC 6303 plasmid pCAL6303.02, complete sequence.
CCAACUUAGUGUCCAAGGUUGUUCCUAACCUCCCCAUGCAUUACUGGUAACGGUAAUGUGUGAAGCGGGAAGUAAAGCCCAAGGAAGCAUUUAGCCUAAAAAUGUAACCGGG